GCCGGGCACGGUGGCGCAUGCCUGUAAUCCUAGCAUUUUGGGAGGCCGAGGUGGGUGGAUCACCUGAGGUCAGGAGUUCAAGACCAGCCUGGCCAACAUGGUGAAACCCUGUCUCUA
rnacentral:SRP_RNA from 1 species